rnacentral:rRNA from 1 species
GGCUUUGCUGAUUCCUCCUUCUUGUAGAACUGUAAUGCCAUUAAUUUGGUGUUGCAGGGAAACAGGACUGUUACUUGAAAAAUUAGAGUGUUUAAAGCAGGCUUACGCUUGAAUACAUUAGCAUGGAAUAAUGAAAUAGGACGUUGAUUCUAAUUUUGUUGGUUUCUAGGAUUGACGUAAUGAUUAAUAGGGAUAGUUGGGGGCAUUAGUAUUCAAUUGUCAGAGGUGAAAUUCUUGGAUUUAUUGAAGACUAACUACUGCGAAAGCAUUUGCCAAGGAUGUUUUCAUUAAUCAAGAACGAAAGUUAGGGGAUCGAAGACGAUCAGAUACCGUCGUAGUCUUAACCAUAAACUAUGCCGACUAGGGAUCGGAUGAUGUUAAUUUUUAAUGACUCGUUCGGCGCCUUACG